GAUGAACGCUAGCUACAGGCUUAACACAUGCAAGUCGAGGGGAAACGGCAUUAAGUGCUUGCACUUUUUGGACGUCGACCGGCGCACGGGUGAGUAACGCGUAUCCAACCUCCCCAUGACUAAGGGAUAACCUGCCGAAAGGCAGACUAAUACCUUAUGGUCUUCACUGACGGCAUCAGAUGUGAAGUAAAGAUUUAUCGGUUAUGGAUGGGGAUGCGUCUGAUUAGCUUGUUGGCGGGGUACCGGCCCACCAAGGCAACGAUCAGUAGGGGUUCUGAGAGGAAGGUCCCCGACAUGGGAACUGAGACACGGUCCAAACUCCUACGGGAGGCAGCAGUGAGGAAUAUUGGUCAAUGGGCGAGAGCCUGAACCAGCCAAGUAGCGUGCAGGAUGACGGCCCGAUGGGUUGUAAACUGCUUUUGUAUGGGGAUAAAGUCAAUCACGUGUGAUUGUUUGCAGGUACCAUACGAAUAAGGACCGGCUAAUUCCGUG
rnacentral:rRNA from 1 species